rnacentral:misc_RNA from 1 species
GUAGGUGAACCUGCGGAAGGAUCAUUAACACUUAUUAUUAUCCAAUAUCAACAAUAAAACCAAACGGUCACUUAUCUUCUCCCUAUUUCGCUACCGGAGACGGUGCGAUUAGGCUAACAUUCUUUUUUAUUUUUAACCCCUUUAAAUUUAUAUUUAUUCACUUAAGUAUAAAACCAACUCUUCGAUUUGUUUGUUUACAAGCAAAACGAACUAAACUAAAAUAUACAUUUGAUAUAUUUUUAUUUUACGA